AUAGGAACAGAACCAGUUGUAUAAGUUCUGCUCUGAGACUAUGACAUUCUGUAACCAAACUGCCUAUAGUUCAGAUGGAAGUAUUACUUUCAUUAGCAGUGGAAAUAGCUUAUGUAAUAUAAUUUGAGGUUUAUAUCUGUUUCAGUUUUGUGAUUCUUUAUUACCUUCCUCAGACAGGUCAUUUUUAAUACUUACUCACUUAACCAUCUCAGAACUGUUGACUUAAAGGAGCUUUAAUCCAUAUACAUACAUAAUUUUUGUUUUAUAAGACUUGUCUUUAAAAUCUUACUGCAUGUGUUUAAGAGGGUUUCAUGUCACCUAGCAAUAUAGUUCAUAUUUUCAAAACACUUCAAACAAAAGAUAAUAAAUUGAAUGUGAAGAUUGAUGAAAAGUUAAAAGUUUUGAAUGAGUGCUAACUUAUUUAACUCCUUUGUAGCCUUUUUCCUCAUGUAUUUUUGGGGAAAUAACAGUACUGUGUUUUGUUUAGUCAUGCAUCCGUCUUUUGUUUUUAAUAGUUUUUUAAAAUUAAUUUAUUUAUUUUGAGAUAGAGAGCAUGAGCAGGGGAGGGGCAGAGAGAGAGGGAGAGAGUCCCAUAUCUUCCCUAAAAUUUAUCAAAAAUCUGUGCUGUCAGUGCAGAGUCCGAUGGGGUGCUCCAUGUCAUGAACCGUGAGAUCAUGACCUGAGCUGAAACCAAGAGUCAGAUGCUUAACCGACUGGGCCACCCAGAUGCCCCUCAUGCAUAAGUCUUUUUAAAAUAGAAUUUUUCUAGAACUUUUAGUUUAAGUUUUUCUCCUUUAUAUAACAGAUAGUGAUUUGAUGGUCUCAAAUGCGUUUAUUUAACCGUCAUAUUUGGUGCUGAAAUUUUAAACUUCCAUUUACUAAGUGGUUGCCAUGUGUACUAGGCAUUCUACUAGGCACUUUAUAUGUUUUAUCACAUUUAUUCUUCAUAGAUGCCUUAUGAGGUAAGUUUUAUUAUUAGCUCUAUUUUAUAGAUAAGGAAACUGAGGCUUGGUGAUUUUUUUUCCCAAGGUCAUAGAAUUCCUUAAGUGGUAGAACUGGAAUUUGAACACAGGUUGGUCUGACUUUCAAGCCUCAGCGCUUAACUGUUAUAAUUUACAUUGUAUAUGAUGGUUAUGUGUAAUAAGAUGAAGAAAGGCUUUUAAGGAUCUGGCCAUCUUAGUUUUUAUAUACUUGCAAAUUGAAAAGAAGUAAGUGAACUGUAAAAGGUGUAUGCGUUUAGAUGGUGUGUCAUUUAAAGGCUAUAAAUGAAUGGAUAAUAACACAGCCUUAAUUCUGUUCUGAUGUAUGUCAUCUUAGUGUGUGAUUCUGUUUAUUUUGAUACAUUUUAGGGAAGAUACGGAACUUGGCAUCUUAAAAGACUUCAAAGCACAUUGUUUUGCUUUAUCUUUUCACAUUCUUGCUUGUCUGUUUGAACCAUAGCAGUCAGGUAUUGUGGCAUUCUGAUUUGCAAGUGGCCUAUAACUGGAAACAGCUAAGCAGGGAAUGUCCCUUUGGAGUUCCAGAGAAAGUUACUUUUUAAGCUCCUGAAUGCUGGUUUUGUAUACUGUUGUUGCACAGAGAUAAAGGGUGGAGGCAGUUUGGGUAAACCAAGCUUCCAUUUUACAGUAUUUCUGAAUUCUCUGGAGCUAUAAAUUGGGUGAAUUCAGUGGCAGUUGGGAGGAAGAUAUGUCGCAGUACAAAUUCAGAGAAUUCAUUUUCCACAAAUGUGAAGGUCCCACCUCUGGGAACCACCUCUUUAAAGCUAUUGGACACUUGUGACUGAACUAUAUUAUAUGUAAGUACUGAAAUACUAAUUAUGACCACUUUCAAAGGACUUGGGUUAUAGUUCUUUGAACUAACAUAUCAGAUGAAGAUUUUUUACUAAGCUAUUUGAUUAUGUUGAUGUUAGAUAUACUAACAUGAUUUUUUUUAAGCCAUGCAUAUUGAGAGACCCAUUCAUGUAAAAAAUUUAGUCUUUUGAUACCAACUAGGUGAUUUUCUAGAAAUAUGAAACUGUUGUUGGCCUUUUAGCUCAUCUGUCAGACUCUUGUGAAUAUUUUAGGGAUUAGGGAUACAUAGAAUUAAAUUUUUUUAAUGUUUAUUUUUGAGAGAGAAAGAGAGACAGCAUGAGUGGGGAAGGAGGAGAGAGAAAGGGGGACACAGAAUCUGAAGCAGGCUCCAGGCUCUGAGCUGUCAGCACAGGAGCCGGAUGUGGGGCUUGAACCCACAUACUGCAAGAUCACAACCUGAGCCAAAGGUGGACACUUAACUGACUGAGCCACCCAGUUGCCCCAGGGAUACAUAGAAUUUUAUCUCUUUCUGAUAUCUGAUUGAACAUUAAAAAGUCAGAUACUUUAGAUAGUAUAUGUAAGCCCUGUAGAAAACAAAUAUCCCCAGUUUAUGAUUUUUACAUAUUAUACUAGUAGGUGAGCUUUCCUCACCUUCUUUUUUAGUAAUGUCUGUUAAGUGGAUGGCAGAAUUUUUUGGGCUAGCUAGUUAAGCAGGUAUUUAUUUGGCGUGGCAUAGUUCUGCCUUUGGGCUCCUCAGAGUACCAUCAGGAUGUUUUCAACUUGGUAAUUUAGCUGUUUCUGCUCUACCAUAUAACACCAGGUACCAUACAUAUAUCCCUGGACUUCGUCUGCUAUUGAACAGUGGAGGCAGUGAAAAUAGCAUAUCUGAUAGGGAUUGCUGCCUAUUAUUGGAUGUAGCAUAUGAGCAAUGGGAAGAAUGAUGGUAGUGUUAACAUAAAUGGUCAAGUAUAUUUAGAUGUAUCUGUGUAGCCUGUAUGUUAACAGUAGACUUUUAAUUGACAAUUUAAUCAGUACUUUGUUUUAGAUUUACCAAUCUUGAGUCUUAUGGGUUUUUAUAUUGAAAGGGUACCAUGUAAUAUUUUUUUUAAUUGAGAGAAAAAUGAACUUCUAUUGUGUCAAGCUACUGAGAUUAUGGGGUUUGUUAUAGCAGCUAGCAUUACUUACCCUAAAUAAUACAGAAAUGGAUUUUUAAUCAAGGUAAAAGGUACUGUUAUUAGCAGGUCUGGAGAACAAAAAUUGUAUCACUUUUAUAAGUGAAAUUGAAUUUGAAUUGAGAUCUCAAAAUUUCUAUUUUUCCUGAUACUGUAGUCUGUAAUCCAAAAUGGCUAGUUGAAAGCUCAGUUGAUUAUUGGGUUGUUACUAUGUCUAACCACUGGUUUUCCAGAUAUCUAAAUUAAUUCAUUAAUAUUCAAAGUGAAGAGGCAAUUUUUUUUAGUGACAUAGAAAAAAUUUUCAGGGGCGCCUGGGUGGCUUGGUCGGUUAAGCGUCCGACUUUGGGACUUCGGCUCAGGUCAUGAUCUCACGGCCCGUGAGUUCGAGCCUGGCGUCGGGCUCUGUGCUGACCGCUCAGAGCCUGCAGCCUGUUUCAGAUUCUGUGUCUCCCUCUGUCUCUGCCCCUCCCCUGUUCAUGCUCUGUCUCUCUCUGUCUCAAAAAUAAAUAAACGUUGAAAAAAAAUAAAAAAUUAAAAAAAAAUUUUUUUUCAGAGCAUCUCACCUAAGUUAGGCACAUGAAAAUUCCUUUUUUUCUGUUUUCAAUCCCAGUAAAAUUAAAGAAUUCCUUGCUCUUUUUAAAAUUUCUGAUUUUUUGAAGGCAUUUGAAUAAUUUCAAGCAACAAUUUUUUAAUUGAGAUAUAAUUCACAUAGUAUAAAAAUUGCUCUGUAACAUGUACAACUCAGUGAUUUUUAGUAAUUCACAAAGUUGUGCAGUUGUUACCACUAUCUAAUUCCAGAACAUUUUCGUUACCUCAAAAAAGGAAACUUACACCCCCUAGUAGCCACUCUCCCUUCUCUGUUCCCUCAUUCCUUGUAACUACUGAUCUACUUUCUGUCUCUGUAAGAUUUGCCUAUUCUGGAUAUUUCAUAUAAAUGGAAUCAUAGUAAUAUGUGGCCUUUUUUUGUCUGGCUCCUUUCACUUAGCCUAAUGUUUACAAGGUUCACUCACAUUAUAUAGCAUGUAUCAAUUCUUCAUUACUUUUAGUGGCCAACUAAUAUUUAUUAUAUGUAUAUUUCAUGUUUUGUUUAUUCAUUUAUCAAUUGAUGGGCAUUUGAGUUGUUUCCAGUUUUUGGCUAUUAUGACUGAUGCUGUUAUGGAUAUUCUUAGGCAUGUGGACAUGUUUUCAGUUCUCUUUGGUAUAUACCUCGGAAUGGAACGGGGUAUAUCCUGAAUCAUCAGGCAACUCUUUGUUUAACUCUGAGGAAGUGCCAAACUUUUUCACAGAGGCUGUGCAUUUUACAUUCCUAUCAGCAGUGUGUGAGAGUUCUCCAAAGUUUCUCUACAUCCUCAUCCAUGCUUGUUUUUGCUUCAGUGUACUUUCUGGGAGGGUACUGUGUAAUUUUGUUAUUUUAUGUAUUCUGCCUUUUUGAAAAUUGAUAUUCCCUUGCUGUGAAAAGAUAAAAGUUUAUUUGAAGUUGACCAAAUUAAUAUUUAUUUUGUUGAUUGUGGUAACAUUGUGGUUAUUUGAAAAAAAACAAAAACAAAAACAAAAAUCUGUUCCAGAAACAUACUGUUUUUACGGGUGGAAAGAAAUGAUGUGUGAUAUUUGCUUUGAAACUCUUUUCCCUCAAAAAGGCAGAGGGGGAUAGAUGAAACAAGAAUAGCAAAGUAUUGAUAAUUAUUGGAGUUGAAUAUUUGGGAAGUUUUGAUGAUGAUAACUGGGGGUUCAUUUUGUUCUCUCUACCUUGUGUGUGUUUGAGAAUUUUCAUAGUGAAGUAAAAAAUUCAUAAGACUGAUGUCCUUUGUGCAGAAUGAUGAUAUGACAUAGAAGUAUCCAUUAAAUGUUUGGACUGGUGGAAAAAUGAUAGCUUAUGAUGGCUGUAGUCUUUGUCAAAGAAACUUUAGCUUCCAGCUGAAUUAAUAAAUGCAUUAUGGAAACUUGUAUUAUAGAAUUCAUUUAGUUCAAGGGUUAAAUCAAUUAUAAUCUACUUAGCUUUUAACUUAUGUUAUUUAUAUAAUUUACUAUUUAUUCCUCACUCAGUAUUUAAAUGUAUUGAUUGAAGUUUCAAGAUUUGUGAUAUGUAUUUUUUUUUUAAACCUUCUGUAUUCUGUUUGGUUGUUGAUAUACAGGAAUUUGAACUUGUGCCUUUUAGGAAUGGCACACUCAAAAAUACAGGAGAAGCUAGAUUAUGUCUAACAGCUAAAUAUCUUGGAAAGACAGUUAUACCUUUCCCUUCAUCUUUGGUACCUAAGAACCCCUGAACCACAGAUCUUACUUACUCAGUAUGACAGGUUCUAUUAUGGUUAUUUUUACUAUAAGACCCUUUUUUAGUAGCCAUGUUGAAUACAUAUGUUUUGUUUGAAAAUUGUUAUAGUUGUUUGGAUUCGGCAUAUUUAGCAAUUGUUGAUAUGGCUAAUAUUUAAUUGUUUUAAUAGAAUUUAUGGAACCUCUGCCUGUUUUCUGGGGAGGUCUUAUGGGGACUGUACAUAAAUGCUUUGAUUUUAAAUACUUUAAUGCUAGCAUUGCGAGCACUUAGCAGACUUAUCAUACGUACAAAAUAAGGCAGAGACAACCAGAACUUAUUUCCUAUUCUUGGUUGCAUAUGGAGAUGGCAGCUGAAUCUCUAUGCACUUGAGUUAGUUUUUCUUUAGUCUUGUGUUUUUGAAAAAUAUAUAGAGGUAUUUGUGAGAGUGGCAGGAAUAAUAAAAACUAGAAUAGUUAUCAUGUAAAACUGUAAAUCCAAAUGGCUCUUGAAUUAAAACCAAUAAAUUGUUCUGUAUGAUGGUAGUAAAUAAGAAAAUAAAUCUUAUGUAUCCUUUUAGAUUAAAAAUACUGACAAAACAA